rnacentral:lncRNA from 1 species
AGAACAGGAUUUCUGAGCAUGCAGUCAUAACUCUAGGUCAUUCAUUAAUUUCAGGCCCUGCUAGCAGAUACCAAGGAUGACAGUGAAAACAGUCACACGGAAGAAGGAGGGAGGGAGGACCGUGCACUACAAAGAACUCUUUUACACCGAGUUGAGAAAUCAUCGGGUUGUUAGAAUUGGACAGAACAUUUAACUCCCAUUCCUUUAUCAUCUAAAAUCUGAUAUCAUGUCAUUUGGUUCACUUCCUACAAAUAAUUACCUUUUGGCUACAUCAAGGUUAUAAUGAUAAGUUAUCAUUUCGGAGCCCAGACUACAGCCCUCGAACCAAGCUAAGUGACUUAAGUGUGCCAUCUCAUUUAACCCCCACAAAGAUUAUACUUGGCCAGGCUGAUAUCACUUAUUUCAUUUCACAGAUGAGGAUAUUGAUCUCAUGGUCACAAAGCUAGUAAACGGCCGAGAAUCACGCCUCGGUCUGUCCAGCUUCAAAACCUGGAUCCAUCACCAUGACACGCUGCUGAAUGAGGCCCGGGUUCGAGAGUAUCACACUUUAAAAAUAUCAUGAUGCAGAUGAGGAUGUGGUACAGUGAUGACUACCAUGUACACAGUACAUUCUAGACACACACUGUCCCCAAGUGCUUCUCUGCAUCUUCACUUAGUCCCCACUGCAACCCCAUGAGGCCAGCACUGUGACUGGAGGAUGCUGAGAGCAGUGAGGUGAAAUAAGCUGCCCGGCGUCACACAGCUGGGAACUGGCAGAAUUGGGAUUCCAGCUCAGGGAAGCGCCCAUGCUCUUAACUCUUAGGCUACACUGCCUGGCUCUUGGGUGGGGGAUCACUGCAGACAGAGUUAAGCUUUGGUGUGUGGGGGGCGGGGGAGGCAGGGGGAGGGGCAGGUGCUUCAAAGAUGGAAGGGAACACAGAGAAGGGACUUUGCCAACUAAUAUUAGCACAAGUCACAUACUGAGACGAAGGUUUUAAAGAGGAUUUUUUUCCCCCGCUAUUUGAGUUCAUGAGAAGAGUUUGUUACCUAUUGAACAAAUAGUCUUCACUAAUAAAGAACAAUGUGACAAGAAGUCAGCACUGUUCUUAGAUAACUGGGGACACAGGGAGGGCACUCCAGUGUUCCCAUGGAAGGAAUGAAUUCGGGCACAGUCCGUCCCGUGCAACUCCCCUAGGGAGAGAAGGGGCAACUGGAUUCCUCUCGACAAACUAGAAACUUUGUGACAAUGACAAGCUGUUCCCACCCCGGCCCUCCCCUAGGAUGCUGGAGAGCCCAGAGAGGGAAGAGAAGAAACCCAGCGUUGGUGCGGUGCCCACCGCGGACUCGACUUCAUUCCACCUUCACGCUGAGAGGCCAAGAUACCUAGAGAGAGUUCGCGGGGCCGGAGGCUCCCUGCUGUCUCCUGCAAGUGCGUGGGGGUGGGGUCUGAUUUCCACCCGUGUUGGACGUCAGCGGCCUCCGACGCUUUUUGGAAGCAGACUUUUCAGGAACACCUGCUGUGUGGCCGGCACUGUAGUAGGUGCCAGGGAUACAAAGAAGAAACUUUCAGGGCUCUUAGGAAGACAGGAAAACAAGUCAAUCAGCAAUGGUCCUAGCGUGAUGAGGAAACUGAGGUUCUGAAUGAUUAGAUGACUCACCCGAUAUCACACAGCUGGUAAGCACGUGAACCAGGAUGAGAAACCCAGGCUAUCUAUGCCAGUGCCCAGUUAACCAGUUCACCAGAACACCAGAAGCCGCCCCCAGGGCUGCAAGCUGACCAUGCCUGGGACACAGGAGGUUGCAGUGGUGAAGAUCAACAGGCGGGGCGAGGAGCAUCUCCGUCUCCCUCUGAAGACCAUUUGGAAGAGGGUGUGAGAGCUGCCGCCAGGCUUUCCCAGAGAACAGCUGGGCCUGGAAGGGGCGGUCCAGGUCCCAUAAUAACUGCUACCUGCUGCUGCAGCAAUUUUCCCUGCUGGGUGUUUCCAAGUCCGAGUCUCCUGGGGGAGGAGGCUGGGAGGAGGAGGAGGAGGAGGGCUGAUUCUCUAAACUCCCCCUGCUUCUCACCAAAGGUCUGUCCUUGGCCCAGCUUCCCUUCCGAAGGUUGAGUAAUCUCAAAAAAUUGCAGCCUGGCAUGAAAGAGCAGGCCUGCAGGCCAAGCCAGAUCACGUCCGCACGCGGGAUGCUUGGCCCACAUGCUCCUGUACACUUGUAACUGUUAAACCAGAGGACAAGAAGCAACAGAUGUCCUCAGAUCACCAAACCAGCAAAUGCGCAGAGCCAUGGUGGGCGUCUGGCCCCAGUGCUUGGGUGGCCCCUAACAUCAGAUUAAGGAAAAAAGACCUCUCCUCAGCUGGAACGUCCCACUUCCUCCUCCCUCCUCCUCACCAGUAUUUUUCUCUCUGCUUUGCCUGGAUUGGAGUCCUGACCUGGCUACUCCCAGCUGUGUGAACUGGGCCAGCAACUUAGCUCCGUUGUGCCUCAGUUUCUCCAUCUCUAAAUGAAGCGCUUAUUCCUCUCUCAUGGAGCCGUCGUGAGAAUUACGUGAAUGAAUACAGGCUGACUACUUUGAACAGUGCCUGGUACGUAAAGCCCUGUACACUGUAGCUUUUGCUGAUGGUGGUAGACACUCUGCUAUUUAGAGAGGUGUUCUUUCUCUCGAGGCUUUGAUUCCUGCUAAAACAGAAAUCAUUUGGAAAUGGACACUUUUUCUGCCAUUUAGAGAGGUAUUCUUUGUCUUGAGCCUUUGAUUCCUGUUAAAAUAGAAAUGAUUCAAAAAUGAA